GACGAACGCUGGCGGCGUGCCUAAUACAUGCAAGUAGAACGCUGAAGCUUGGUUCUUGCACCGAGCGGAUGAGUUGCGAACGGGUGAGUAACGCGAAGGUAAUCUGCCUGGUAGCGGGGUAACACUAUUGGAAACGAUAGCUAAUACCGUAUAAGAGUAGACUUUGUAUUACAUUUGCUUAAAAGUUGCAAGUGCAUCACUACCAGAUGGACCUGCGUUGUAUUGGCUAGUUGGUGGGGUACCGGCUCAUCAAGGCGACGUCACAUAGCCGACCUGAGAGGAUGAUCAGCCACACUGGGACUGAGACACGGCCCAGACGCAUUCGGGAGGCAGCAGUAGUGAUUCUUCAGCAAUGGGUGGAAGUCAGACCGAGAAACGCGGAAUGAGUGAGGAAGAUUGUCGGGUCGUAGAGGUCUGUUGUCAGGGAAGAACGAGUGUGAGACUGGGAAGUUCACUCAGUGACGGUAACUUACCAGAAAGCGACGGCUAACUACGUG
rnacentral:rRNA from 1 species